rnacentral:rRNA from 1 species
CCUACGGGCGGCAGCAGUGAGGAAUAUUGGGCAAUGGUCGGGAGACUGAACCAGCCAAGCCGCGUGAGGGAGGAAGGUACAGAGGAUCGUAAACCUCUUUUGUCAGGGAACAAAGACUGGGACGCGUCCCCGGAUGAGUGUACCUGAAGAAAAAGCAUCGGCUAACUCCGUUCCAGCAGCCGCGGUAAGACGGAGGAUGCGAGCGUUAUCCGGAUUUGGUGGGUUUAAAGGGUGCGCAGGCGGUGUGUUAAGUCAGCGGUAAAAGCCCGGGGCUAAACCCGGGCCCGCCGUUGAAUCUGGCAGUGUCGAGUUGGAGAGAAGUAUGCGGAAUGCGCGGGGUAGCGGUGAAA